AUGUGGGAUUCUGCUAGUACUUGGACUUUGCUGAAGAAUGAUGGGGGUGUCAAAGUUGUUUUUGGGAAGAAUCUGGAUCUAAUAGUUUUGGAUGAAUCAAAAGAUGUACUUCUGGAGAUAUACGCACCAUGGUGUGGGCACUGUCAAUCACUGGAGCCUACUUACAAAAAACUAGCCAAGCAUCUACGUGGUGUUGACUCCCUUGUGAUAGCUAAAAUGGAUGGUACUGCAAAUGAGCAUCCAGAUGCAAAGUCUGACGGAUACCCAACUAUUUUCUUCUAUCCAGCUGGGAAGAAAAGCUUUGAGCCUAUCACUUUUGAGGGGGAGCGGACAGUGGUAGAUAUGUACAAGUUCAUCAAGAAACAUGCUAGCAUCCCUUUCAAGUUGAAGCGCCAGGAGUCAAGAACCGAGAGUACUCAGAAGGAGGGUGUGAAGAGCUAUGGUGGAUGUGAAUCCUCCUCUGCAAUCUUCCUUUGCUGGAUGAUGAGGGAGGAGCGUAAAUAG
rnacentral:rRNA from 1 species